rnacentral:rRNA from 1 species
UACGUAGGGUGCGAGCGUUAAUCGGAAUUACUGGGCGUAAAGCGUGCGCAGGCGGUUCGUUGUGUCUGCUGUGAAAUCCCCGGGCUCAACCUGGGAAUGGCGGUGGAAACUGGCGAGCUUGAGUGUGGCAGAGGGGGGUGGAAUUCCACGUGUAGCAGUGAAAUGCGUAGAGAUGUGGAGGAACACCGAUGGCGAAGGCAGCCCCCUGGGCUGAGAUUGACGCUCAGGCACGAAAGCGUGGGGAGCAAACAGG